rnacentral:lncRNA from 1 species
ACGCUACCGAUUGAUCUGCCAGUUAACAUUACUAAAACCGUACUUACUAAAGCAUCGGAGAGCCUUCGGCCGGUACCACACCGGUACCCCAAGGACUUACCGAACGCGUCCUUUUGCAGGUACUUACCCUUCUGAAGCAAGACGAUUUCCGAAGAUAGCCACCUGCCGAAGGUAUAAUAUAACUAAGUUGGCGAAAUACGUGCCGAACCACUUUUUCGCAUCAACAGUUUGGCGCCGUCUGUGGGAAUCCAGAAAAAUCAUCAACCCACUAUCUCCAAAACAUAUGGGGACCACCUCAGUACCCACGUUCUUAUCGGAAGAAGGAGUACUGUUCGGAAGGCAAAGCGGAGCUAGCCCAGCGCUACCCCCAUGCACUCCCCUCGGAAAUGCCCUAGCAACCCAAACAACCGCCGAAGCCGAGCUGGUAGUCCAGAUCGCGUCCCUACGGAAGGACAUGGCAAGGCUUCAGGAACACAACAACCUCCUUUCGUCCAAAGUGGACGAAACCCAGCAGCUGCUCCACCAGCAGCACACGCAGAACAUCCAGACAACUCACUCUUCCCAGAGCUUGCAGACCCCCCAUAGGAAGAAGAAACACUAGAAGGUAGCGAGGGCAACGCCCACACCUUCCAAACAGUUGGUAGUUCCGGCACCCAGGGAUCAGCCGCACAUCCCCAAGAAAGUCUACUCCGAUUGUCGACAUCGGAUUAACGAUCGGGAGGCAGAGAGACGGAGGUCUCCUAUCAGGAUUAGCGCUCGACUAAGGGACUCACGGAUGAAAAUCCUAGGAAACAAGUCGCCUAUUCGGAAGGUCAGAGGGCUGGACUCCGUAGAGGAGUCGGAAUCCGAAUAUAUCCCUUCCAGGACGCAAGUUUCCACCUACCGUUCGGCAACGCCUUCACGGUACUCAGGGGUUAAUUCAUUAAGCCUACAAAGACGAUCGGAAGAUUAUGGUUCCGAGGAAAUCCCUAGCCGAGACCCUGUUGUCCGACUCCUUUUUCAGAAAGUCCAAAAAAUGGAAAAUGACAAAGCUCGCUCCCAAGAACCGGAAUAGGGAAAGCUUCGGCCCGGACCAUUCACCAGGCGCAUCCGGGACUCUCGGCAGGACAGGGAAGUGCAGCAACUGCGUAUACCGUUCUAUACGGGAACGGAGGACCCCUUAACACACCUCUACUCAUUUCAGUCCGCCAUUGGAUGCAAGGGCCUGAGCGACGAAGGGCAGUGCCUGCUAUUCCCGUCUUCCCUUACCGAAGCAGCCCUGAACUGGUUCUACCAGUUGGAGCCGGAGACAGUAGAUUCUUUCGACGAGCUGAAGCAAAUUUUCCUCAAUCACUUCAUGAUCCAAACGGACCGUCUUUACUCUGCCGAUGAUCUGUACACGAUUCGGCAAAGAGAGGACGAACCUUUGAGAGAAUACGCGGCGCGCUUCAGUCACGAAUACUCAAGAUGUCCGAAAACAGACGAUAGGGCAGCCUACGGCGCCUUCAAGAGUGGCCUUUUGGUCCUCGCAUUUCCGAUACCUAGUACACAGCAACAACUGGCGCAUGUACGACGAACUGAUGAAGCAGGCAGCAAUCCACGCCAAAGCCGAAUACUUCAACCCGAAACCCGGGGUUUCGGCACGACGAGGAGAUGCCGAACCAAGUGCUUAUCCGGCAAAGGUGCCACCCUACGAGAGAGUCGACCCAUAUUUGGCAGGUCAUAAGAGGAAAGACGACCGUGCCGAUCGAAGAGAACACCUGAAGAAGGGAAAAGGGAGGUAUGGACGCAACGACAACCAGGCGCCCCUGCCGAAUCGUGACCACGGCAACGAAGUCUUUACCCUAUUAAACACUACCUACGAGGGUGUCCUGAUGAACGAACAAGAAAUAAUACCGAAGCCGAAUCUACGAAGACCCAAUCGGCAAGACAACCGGGAUACCGGUAAAUUCUGCCGAUACCAUCAGCACAACAGCCAUAAUACGGAAGACUGUAUAAGCCUAAGAAAGAUUGUCGAACGAUUGAUCAGAGAGGGGAAGCUAGAUCAGUAUAUCGCCCCGCAGCCACCGGCGCCGGUACCGAACCCAACUCGGCAGAUAAACAUGAUAAGCACUAUCAGCGGUGGCCCCACCAUCGCGGUAAUGAGCAACCAUUCAAUGAAUCAAUACGUGCGUGCCGCACAAUUUCCUCAGGUAUUCGGCAUAGAGGUGAAUCGGCACCAUGAAAUACCGAAAGUUCAUUGGGAACCAAUCACAUUUUGCGAAGAAGAGGAAGAGGGCAUCCUCUAUCCCCACGACGACCCGAUGAUCAUUCGAGCAGAAAUUGCCGACUACGAUGUAGGACGGGUACUGAUCGAUACCGAAAGCUCCGUGAGCGUGAUUUUUGCCGAAGCUUUCCGAGAAAUGGGAAUAAACGACAGUCAGGUCAACCGGCAAUUGACCCCUCUGUUAAGUUUCUCUGGGGAUCUAGUCCAACCAGUCGGUAGUGUAAAACUGCCAAUUACCUUCGGCACCGCACCAAGAAAAACAACGAUAUACGAUCAUUUCCUGAUCUUGAUUGCCCGACAGCAUACAACGUUAUAGUUGGACGAACGGCACUCACCAGGGUCAAGGCACAUCUUUAUUGAUGAAGUUCCCGACCCCCAACGGCACAGGGGCUGUCCGGGGAAAUCAGUUAAGCGCGCGGACUUGCUACGCCACGGCCCUCAAGUCAACCUCUUUCAAACUCCCCGACGAGACCAUGUCUGUACAAGGAGUACCGAACGGUAUAGGACCAGUUGACGACCCAAGAGAUGAGUCCCCGACUCCUCACACACAACCUGUCGAAGAACUGGAGAAGAUAACCUUGAGCGAGGAGCAGCCUGAUCGUCGAGUUAGAAUCGGCCCUAGACUCACCCCUGCCCUCCGAACGCAGUUCAUAGACUUCUUGCGGCACCAUUUGGAAGUGUUUGCGUGGUCCUACGAAGAUAUGCCCGGCAUAGACCCUGAGAUCAUCAGCCAUAAACUCAGCAUUUCCCCCGCUUAUAAGCCUGUAAGACAAAAGCGCCGUUCGUAUGAUGCCGAACGAUACGAAGCCAUGCGCACAGAGGUUGACAAACUUCAAACUAUUGGCUUCAUCAGGGAGGCUACAUAUCCAGUAUGGUUGGCAAAUUCGGUAAUGGUCUGAAAAGCUACAGGCGGGUGGCGAAUGUGCCAAGACUAUACCAAUCUGAACACGGCCUGCCCGAAGGACAGCUUUCCGUUGCCAAGGAUAGACCAGCUCGUGGACGCCACCGCCGGACACGAACUGCUCAGCUUCAUGGACGCCUAUUCGGGAUACAAUCAGAUAUUCAUGCACCCUUCCGACAGCGAACACACCGCCUUCAUAACGGACAGGGGGUUAUACUGUCACAAUGUCAUGCCGUUCGGCCUGAAGAACGCGGGGGCAACAUAUCAGAGGUUUGUCAACAGAAUUUUCGCCAAAUACAUCGGGAGCAUCAUGGAGGUUUACGUCGAUGACAUGUUGGUAAAGAGCAGAACUGCCGAAAGCCACCUGCACAAUUUAUCAAUCAUGUUUGGCAUACUAAAAGACUACCGGAUGAGACUCAACCCGAUGAAAUGCGCCUUCGGUGUGUCCUCCGAAAAAUUCCUCGGAUUCAUGAUCAGUCAGAGGGGUAUCGAAGCGAAUCCCGAAAAGAUAAAGGCAAUAAUCGACAUGGAGAGACCGAAGAUGACAAAAGACAUUCAGAGCCUUACCGGACGCGUAGCCGCAUUGACCCGCUUCAUAUCGAAGGCUACUGACAAAUGCGUACCGUUCUUCAAAGCCUUGAAAGGGGGCAAACAGAAUAUCAUAUGGACUGCCAAAUGUGACAAAGCGUUUCAAGACUUAAAGGACUACAUGGGCAAAGCACCCCUUUUAUCAAAACCACUACCUGGGGAGAUUCUCUCCCUAUACCUUUCGGUAUCUAGCACUGCCGUCAGUUUGGUAUUGAUUCGAAAACCAGAGAAAGCAGAGCUACCGAUUUUCUAUGUCAGUAAGGCACUCCAAAGUGCCGAACUUCGGUAUCCCCCAUUAGAACAGCUUGCACUAGCCCUUGUGGUCUCGGUACGAAGACUUCGGCCAUACUUUCAAGCGCACGGAAUCAAAGUCCUGACUAACCAACCGCUCCGACAAGUGCUCCUAAAACCAGAGACUUCUGGCCGAUUGAUCAAAUGGGCAAUCGAACUCAGAAAAUUCGACAUACAAUUCAUUCCAAGGCCCGCCGAAAAGGGUCAGGCCAUUGCCGAUUUCAUCUCCGAACUCACCCCAUCAACAGCACAGCCGACACCCGAGUCGGUAACCGAGACCGGACUGCCGGAGGAACUAGACGCUGAACGCUUUGACGUCUCAACUCCCGUAUGGAUUCUGCAUGUUGACGGCUCGGCAAACCAACAAGGGUGGGGAGCAGGCUUGUUACUGACAACACCGGACGGACUCAAGAUCGAGUACGCCCUCCGAUUCAACUUCAGAACCUCCAACAAUGAAGCGGAAUAUGAGGCUCUCUUGGCCGGCCUUCGGUUAGCCAAGAGCAUGAAUGCAAAACAAAUCAGAAUUCACAACGACUCCCAGCUCAUUGUGAACCAGGUAACGGCAGACUUCGCGGCCAGAGACGCCUCCAUGCACGCCUACCUUUCGUCUACCCAUCAGCUGCUCCAAAGCUUCCGAGCCUACGAGAUCAAGCAGAUCCCCAAAAUCGAAAAUAGCCAUGCCGAUGCAUUGGCACGUCUGGCUUCGGCAAUUAACGACAAAAUCGGAAGAAAGGUGCCAGUAGAGAUUCUUGCCCAACCGAGCACGGUAGCCUCCGAAACAUGCACCGUACGGUACGAAGAUACAUGGAUGUCUCCUAUCUACUCGUACCUGACCAACGGCACCCUUCCAGAAGACAAGGCCCAGGCCCGAAAGCUUAGGUACCGAUCAGCAAGGUACACCGUCAUCAAUGACGUCCUUUACAAGCGUGGCUACACCACUCCAUAUCUCAAGUGCCUUACGGCAGAACAGGGAGAUUACAUCCUUCGGGAGAUCCACAAUGGUGUGUGCGGCGACCAUUCCAGUUCCCGGUCACUCGCCCACAAAGCCUUUCGGCAGGGGUACUUUUGGCCGACCAUGCAUCAGGACGCUAAUUCACUGGUAAAAAGGUGUGAUAAAUGCCAGCGUUUCGGUAACAUACCGCACAUCCCUGCCGAACCCUGACACCGAUCGUGAGUCCUUGGCCUUUUGCACAAUAGGGAAUAGACCUGAUCGGUCCGAUGCCGCAAGGGAAAGGCCAGGUAAAAUACGCAGUGGUUGCCGUCGACUACUUCACCAAAUGGGUAGAAGCCGAACCUUUAGCAACCAUAACAGCAGCAGAGAUGGAGGAUUUCGUCUGGACUCAGGUUUGUUGCAGAUUCGGUAUCCCAUAUGCUAUCAUUACCUAUAACGGCAGGCAGUUCGAUUCGGAACUCUUCAGGCAAUUCUGCACCCGCCUGAAAAUCAACUUGUUUUUCGCAUCACCAGCUCAUCCCCAAUCGAACGGUCAGGUCGAACUAAUAAACAAAAUCAUCAAGAAACGACUGAAACGGCAGCUGGACAAGGCCAAAGGAGCCUGGCCAGAAAAGCUUGCCGAAGCACUCUGGGCCAUUCGGACAUCUUACCGAACGUCCACGGGAGAGACCCCUUUCUCUUUGGCUUUCGGUUCGGAAGCCGUGGUGCCUGUGGAAAUUGGCGACCCUUCCUACCGAACGGAAAACUUCGCACCGAAGCCAAACGAAGAAGCAAUUUCUCUAAUCCUCGACUUACUUGAAGAACACCGAGCGCAUGCCAACCUUCGGAACGAAGCCUACAAACAACGUGUCUCUCGGUAUUACGGCUCUAAGGUCAGGCACCGCUCCUUCCGAAUCGGAGACUGGGUCAUGCGCAAGGUAUCCCUAGCAACCAAGGAUGCCACGGAAGGAACCCUCGGACCUUCAUAGGAAGGACCCUAUGAGAUCAUCGGUAUCCUUCGAUCGGGAACCUACCGACUGAGAGACUCCAACGGCAAGACCCUCGGUCAUCCUUGGAACGUGGAACAUCUCAAAUACUACUACAAGUGACCUAGCCUACGGCAGGCCCGAACUGUAACCGCUCAGAAUGUAUUUGUCCUUCAACUGAAAUUAAUAAAAGUCUUCAGCACUAUUACUUCAGAACCUCUUUUUAAUUACUCUACUAGCCCACGGUUGCCAAUAAUGUCGAGUUAACGUGCUACGGCAUCUUUAUUAGCCUACGGCAAUAAAUGAUUUUCGAGGUUUUUACCCUACAGAUUCCAUCGGCAUCUUUAUUAGCCUACGGCAAUAAAUGACUUUCGGCGACAGUACGAUCGGCAAUUGAAACAAACUCAGAUUGUUGAAACAGAUGAUAAAAACAAUAAUAAACUUUUAAAUUAAGGAUGCCCUCGGCACCAAUAAGUUCAGAGUACAUGAAAGUUUAAAUCUAAAUUUACAAGUACAAGCUCAAAUUUAAGAGGCCCUCAGGCUUCGUCUCCAGCAGCAGCCUCGGCAGAACCAGAGCCUUCGGCGGCGUCCUCCCCCUCGUACUCCUCGAUCAUUUCCUCAAUUAUCCCUUCCGGUAGGGGGGAGGGUCGGCGAUGAAGUUCAGGUUCAGCUUUUGCCCAGGGUUGUACCGUUUGAAUCGGUACAACAGGUCCGCCAUCUCCGAGCCCACUUCCUUAUCCAGAAGGCCAGUGAACUCUUCAGACGAGCGGUACCCCCGGAUCGCUGACCGAAUGGCACCUUCGAUUUCCGCUGCCUUGGCCCGCUCAGACUCCUCUAGGGCCACUUGCACUGCAUCCCUGGACGCCUCGGCAUCCCUCACCACCGCCAGCGCUCCCUCUAGGAGAAACUUCAUCUCCUCCACCUUCGCCUCCGAAGCGAAAACCUGCUGUUCGGCAGCCUCUUUCUCCUUCAGCAGAUGGACAUGGUCCUGGAGCACUUUGCCAGCCUCGGCAACCUUGGCCCUACUGUCCUCGUACGCCUUCUUGGCGUGCUCGGCAGCAGCAAUGGCCCGCUUGACGCAGAGCCACAUGUCCAUGGAUGCCUGCACAAAACAAAGUCAGAAGCAUGCUCCACUUACAAAAAAAAAAGGACGAAGGAAGAAAGAAAAUCUUACCGAGGCCUGAAGCCGAAAGGCGCAUCCAGCCUCCUCCCGAAGAAGCUUCUUCGGUAGCUCGUCAAUCUCCGGCAGCUCCAUCUGAGAGCCGAGGAUCAUAUGGUUGACGAACUGGACCGUCUUUGCUGGGCAGGCAAUGGUGACGGCCUCGAAAGGACCGUCCUCGUCCUCCACUGCAAGGACGGCCCUUGGAACCUCCAAUUGGCGAGGGCGUUUGGGGACUGGCUCGGCUUCCAGAUCGACUGUCUCCGGCUGCUUGCCGGCAGCCUUGGAAGCGGCGGCCUCGGUAUUCUGAUGCCUCGGUGGAGAGACCCCAUCGGUAGUGCGCCCCAGAACUGGCUCGGCGCCCAGCUGUCGCAGGUGCUCCGCGAGGGUCUGGUCCUCCGGAUCCACCACCGCCUGCCGGACGGAAGCUGCCUCGGGCUGCUUUUUCUUUUUCUUGCCCUCCAGGCCCAUCAUUAGGCACCUCCUGGAGGACUCGUUCAUCUUCUUCGCCUCGGCAGUCUUCCUUGCGUCCGUCACUGGUCAAAAGCAUUCGGUCAGUCGGCGAACAAAAGCAAUACACGAAAACAAACAAAAAAAAAGAAGGAAAGAUAUACUUACUCUCGGCAGGGUUGACGAGGCCGGCUCUGACGAGGUUGUCGGUGAAGAGGAAGUGUGGAUAAACUCGCUCGGCAGCAGGUACUCUCAGCCUCACUCUGUCGAGCUGCCGGAUUUCACUCUGCUUGGGGCUCGACUGCUUGAGUUUACCUUUCAGAAGAAGGAAAAUUAGUAAAAUAAAACAAGGAAAAAGAAGAGAGAAAAGAAGUCGGCCUAUCAAUCGGUAUUUCGGGAACCUACCGGCAAUCUGAAAUGUCGUAGGGACCGAGAAGCGGGGGGGUGUUCCCGAUGGCGAUUCCCAAUCGCCGGAGAGUAGCACCCGCCGGUUCCUCCACAACUUUUGAGAAGUCGGCACCGAGCUGAUGAAGUGCCCCCGCUCGGAAGCCUUCAGGCAGUUCGCCUGAACCCAGCCGCCGUGAUCGGCGCUCUUGGACUUGGUAAUGCUGUAUAAGUACGAGAACUGCUCGUAGGAAGGCUCCCCCUCCUCGGCAAUCCCGAACGCAGCAAUUACCCCCAUCAAGGCCACCCAGAAGUUGGCGUUAUACUGGCCGGGAGCGUACCCGAUCUGGGCAAAGAUCUUCUGCACGACAGGUUGCAACGGCAACCGAACCCCUUGCAGAAGAACGUCGGUGAAGAAGGUCACUUCACCAUUCACUGGGUCGCUGAGGGACUCGACAGGGCUCGGUAUCCUCAUCUUCACCGAGUCCGGAAUGAGGUACUCGGCCCUAAUCCUCUCCAGCUCUCAUUCGGUGAUCUUGUUGGGCUCCAAGUAGUCGACCCCGAACAAAGUUUUCUUCGGCACACCCACCGGUAUUCUAGGCAGCUCUCGGUGGAUGAUCGUCACCCUCGACCGAGAGGGACCGGCAAUGCCCUCACCACGACCGGAGGUGGAGGCCUCCGGCUGACGCUCAAAAGGACCGGCGCGGGUACUGUCCUUAUAAACCACGGCCAAGGGAAACGGUUGCCCCAUCAUAAACCCCUUGCCGAUGUCAUGGGUGGGAAUGGAGUUCACCUCCUCAUCGAGUAUCUCAACAUCGGUGUCUUCUCCACCCUCGGCGUUGAGGCUCGCAGCCCCGCUGGACGUGUCCCAGUCCGAUGACUCCCCAUCGAACGCGUUGGGCUCACUGCCGAAUGGCGACUCGCUAUCAGACAUCUACAAAACAAAGAAAGGGAAGCUAAGGCCCAUGCCACAAACUAUCCUACCGAUGCCUACAUCGCUACCUAUGGCCACUAGACUACCGCAGGAAAAUCCUAUUUUACGUUCGGCCAGCCUACGCCAUGAAAAGACGUGCAAUUAAAAUAAAAGGAGAGUAUUUUGGGGGGUACCGAACGGUAUCUUACCUUGAGUAGUGUGGGAUGAGUUGAUCACCGAUCAGAGACUUCGGAAAUCGCCCUGUAUGCCGAGAACCGCUGUAAAAAUCGCCUUGAUUGCCGUUCACUCUCUUCGAAAAUCGCCCGCACAGAGCUCUCGCAUCAACUCACAAUUGCAAAGUGAGCCUUACGACCGGAGCAACCUCUAUUUAUAGGGAGAGAGCUGUAACGGUACGCCUCGGAAGACUAAACGGCUCUUUAAUGCGCCGUCAGACGUGCUUUUGCUGGCCACGUGUCACCUGACGAAUGGCGCCGCUGACUGCACGCCAGGCACGGAAGACGAAGCGUCUCUCUGCCCUCUCGCCUCUCAGCAUCGACGACCCCUCGAGUCCCAGGUCAAUCUCCCCCGAACGAACCUACCGAACGGCAAGUCAACCUCCGAACCACUAUAGAGAACUAAAUUCCCUUCCGAAGGACCUUCGGAAGAGAACUUGGGGGACUACUGUUUAUACCGGAAAUAAACGGCCUAUGACCACCGAACACGUGGACAGAAUCGAUAUUGACUGCAGAAACCCUUCGGCACUUUGCCUACCGAAGCCGUCCAUUUUGACCCUUUUACUACCGGACACGUGUCAUGCUCACAAUCCGCAUCCACAGUCCCACAUCGGAAAUAUGAGCACAGUGCACACCUCCCAAUGCCUAUAUAAGAAGACUCCUAUCCCCAAAAGGGAGGGAUCAGAACGAACAGUAUGCUACCGAUUGAUCUGUCAGUUAACAUUACUAAAACCGUACUUACUAAAGCAUCGGAAAGCCUUCGGCCGGUACCACACAGGUACCCCAAGGACUUACCGAACGCGUCCUUUUGCAGGUACUCACCCUUCUGAAGCAAGACGAUUUCCGAAGAUAGCCACCUGCCGAAGGCAUAAUAUCACUAAGUUGGCGAAAUACG